AUGUUUUUCAUCAUAUACGGCAGUACUCAUUCGUCAGUCAUUCAGACACACGUACGUACGUGUGGGUCAGCGUGAAUAUCCAUGACAGCGUAGAGUAGUAAUUGGCUAAUUGCUGACGGGACAAAUUACGGUAAGCGGAAAUGAUGGUUGGUAAUCGAUGGUUCAGCAGGGCAGAAUUCUGCAGUGAGCAAGCGGCAAGCGGCCAUGCAUCAUCGGUCCAUCAAACGUAAAUCAUGGCGCGGCCGAUCUCGAGGCGCGGAAAGGAGAUCCAUGGCAGCAGCAGAGGCGCGCGACAGGCGAGGAUGAAAGUUCUGAGACACCAAAACCUUUAUGAAAAAGGACUACAGUGAGUGAGGGGAGGGAAAGAAUUAUGCAUGGCAUGCCUGCCUGCAAGGAAAAAAAGAAAGAAGAAAAAAGCAAGCAGUGAGUAUUUGAGUAAUGCUAGCUAGGCAUCCAUCGCAGAAGCACUAGACUAUGCACAAAAUCAGAUCACACACAUAUAUAAAAGCUGCUGUUUUGAGGUUGUACGUGGCUGGUAGCCAGUGAUCACCUGGCUAGCAAUGGCUGCUAUGCUAGCUAGCUGCAGAGAGAUUCCUUCGGUUCUCCUGUGAAGAACAAACCAUGCAUGCGAGCGAUGGAGAACUACUUACAGAGUUAGAGUGGUUGUUACUUUACACUCAUGAUCCCCAUGAAUUCCCUAUGCGAGCGAUGGAGAACUACUUACAGAGUUAGAGUGGUUGUUACUUUACACUCAUGAUCCCCAUGAAUUCCCUAUGCGAGCGAUGGAGAACUACUUACAGAGUUAGAGUGGUUGUUACUUUACACUCAUGAUCCCCA
rnacentral:lncRNA from 1 species